GGGACCCUUCUCUCAUGGACUACACAAACAUGUGUUUUACCUGCUCGUGCUCCAGAUGUCCUGAAGCAGCUCUCAAUGACCACCAGACACCAGACUGAAGCAGAACUGAUGCUGUAGUACCUGUCACUCACCGGGCUCGUUCCUGCUGAACCUCCAAGAGAUAAACCCCUCUUCAAGAAAGUCUGAGGUAAUGUCUUCGUGAACUUGUGCUCAUUUAUUUUUUCUUAGUUAUCUUAGCUGCUGUAUUAAUGCUUGUGACGCUAUUGUACAGCUCUGCUGAUAUCGUCUUUAACAGCAGUGUUUUCUCCCAGGUCUUCUUCAAGCCAGUUAAGAGAGGAAGAACAGCUUAGACACUCAGGCAGCUGAACGCACCAAAGAUGGACAUCAUGCAGCCACCCUGAGCCUUGAGCCUCUCUGUGCUCUUUGCUGCUGCAGACCUGGUGAAGUUGCUCUGGACAGAAAUAUUUUUUGCUCUGCUGCAGUGCUGAAGGUAUUCAUUGUAAUGAUGUGUGUAUUUAUUCAACGUGUUUAGUUUCACAGAUUGUCAACACAAAUGUUUCUGUUUAUUUCCUGUUUUGAACCAGCUACAUUCUCCUGCUUCAAGUCACUGUCUGUUCAUCCACGGUGUAGCCAGUGCAGCUCAGCAGAGUCCUAAUAAUGGUGAUCCUUCAAGUCCUGCGAAGCAAGCUGCAGCAGAUGUCAUCACAUUCAGAUCAUCAUUUUUAUCUUUACUGCAGCUUUAAAGUUUCCCUGAGGUAACGGUGUAUUUCCUUGCCCCAUAACAAAAACCAUGUUUGACCAACAUAGAAAAGCACAGAAUUACUGUUAGCACAGGAUUACAGAGUUAAAGUGAAGGGGAUUUUGUUUGUUUUUUUCAGACCUCUCCUCCUCCUCCUGCCUCUGACUCCAGUGAUGCUGUCAACUCGAACACUGAUAACUGCACACGGCGAUUCUACAACCACAGGUCAAAGGUCAAAACAUUACCUCAC